UACGUAGGUGACCAGCGUUGUCCGGAUUUACUGGGCGUAAAGAGCGCGCAGGCGGUCGUUCAAGUCGAGUGUGAAAGCCCCCGGCUCAACUGGGGAGGGUCACUCGAUACUGAUCGACUUGAAGGCAGGAGAGGGAAGCGGAAUUCCCGGUGUAGUGGUGAAAUGCGUAGAUAUCGGGAGGAACACCAGUGGCGAAGGCGGCUUCCUGGCCUGUUCUUGACGCUGAGGCGCGAAAGUGUGGGGAGCGAACAGG
rnacentral:rRNA from 1 species